AUGUGGAGGCUAAAGAUCGGGGAGGGUGAUGGCAACCCACUGCUGCGUACCACCAGCGGCCACGUCGGCCGGGAGGUAUGGAAGUUUGAUCCUGCCGCGGACGACCCCGAGGAGGUCGCCGCUGUGGAAGCCGCCCGCCGGGACUUCACCAGCCGCCGGUACCAGAUGAAGAACAGCUCCGACCUUCUCAUGCGCAUGCAGUUGUCCAAGUCAAACGGCCUCAAGACGAACCUUCCUGAUCCCAUCAAGCUUGAGCAGCAUGGCUAUGCCACACAAGAGGCCGUCUUGAUAUCUUUAAAGAGGGCCAUCAGCCGCUAUUCCACGCUGCAGGCAGAUGAUGGCCACUGCUGGCACUUUAUUUCUCUUGCCCAGCUUGCAUUGUAUGUGACUGGAUCACUGACUACUGUGUUGACAUCUGAACAUCAAAAAGAGAUUCGGCGAUAUCUCUACAAUCACCAGGCAGUGCAGAAUGAAGAUGGGGGCUGGGGACUGCACAUCGAGGGGACAAGCACAAUGUUCUGUUCUGACAUGAACUAUGUUGCUUUGAGAUUGCUAGGGGAGGGGCUGGAUUCACAUGGACCCAUGCUGCAAGCUCGGAGUUGGAUCUUGGACCAUGGAGGAGCAACUUUAACACCAUCUUGGGGAAAAUUCUUUCUUUCGGUCCUGGGAGUAUAUGAUUGGUCGGGGAACAAUCCAUUGCCACCAGAACUAUGGAUGGUACCCUAUUUCUUGCCAAUUCAUCCAGGGCGCAUGUGGUGUCAUUCUCGUUUGGUAUAUUUGCCCAUGUCAUACCUAUACGGGAAGAGGUUCGUUGGCACUACAACAUCAAUUGUACUAGACUUGAGGAAAGAGCUCUACAACGUACCAUACGAUGAGAUUAACUGGGACAAGGCUUGCAAUGGGUGUGCCAAGGAAGAUCUCUAUUAUUCCCAUUCAGCAUUGAAAGAUAUCGUAUCGGCUACUCUCAAGAAAGUUGGUGAACCAAUAUUUAUGCACUGGCCUGGUAGCAAUUUGCGGGAGAAAGCUCUGGACAAUGUCAUGAAACAUAUAAAGUACGAGGAUGAAACAACUCAAUACAUAUGCAUUGGUCCUCUAAAUAAGAUGUUGAAUAUGAUUUGUUGCUGGGUAGAAGAUCCAAACUCAGAGGCAUUCAAACUCCAUAUUGAAAGAAUAUACGAUUUCUUAUGGGUCGCCAAAGACGGCAUGAAGCUGAAGUCUUACAAUGGCAGCCAACUAUGGGACACAGUUUUGACAGUUCAAGCUAUAUUUGCUACUGGCCUGACAAAAGAGUUCCCCCAUGCAAUAAAACUUGCCCAUGACUAUAUAAAAAGUUCACAGAUUCAUGUGAAUUUUCCUGGAGAUCAAAUUGAGUGGUAUCAUCAUAUAACUAAAGGUGGAUGGACACAUUCAACUGCUGACCAUGGGUGGCCAGUAUCAGACUGUACUGCAGAAGCAUUGAAGGUUAUAUUGAUGUUGAUUAAGCUUCCUCCUGAAUUGGUUGGCGAGCCUAUGGAAAGAAGCAAGCUUGAUGAUGCAAACGAUGAUGGUAGUUUUGGUGCAUAUGAGCUAACAAGAUCUUAUGAAUGGCUUGAGGUGAUUAUUUCCGUUGCUAAUUUUGUGUUAAUUUUGAUGCAUUUUCAAUCUUUGGUCGCACACAGGUAUGUUGAGUGUACAUCAUCAGUAAUUCAGGGUCUAGUGUUAUUUAGAGAAAUGUACCCCAAACAUUGUCGCAUGGAAGAGAUAGAAAAUUGUAUCCAAAAGGCAGUUGACUACAUUGAGAGCAUCCAACGGAGCGAUGGAUCAUGGUAUGGCUGCUGGGCUAUUUGUUUCACCUAUGGUACAUGGUUUAGUGUGAGAGGAUUGAUUGCUGCUGGCAGAACGUACAAGAACAGCCAAGCAAUCAGAAAAGCAUGUGAAUUUCUGCUAUCCAAGGAGCUUCUCCCAUUAGGGGGGGUUUACACCAAUCUUGAAGGCAACCGGCCUCACGCGGUCAACACCAGUUGGGCCAUGUUGGCCCUAAUUGAUGCCGGACAGGGUCAAAGAAAUCCUGCACCUUUACAUAGGGCGGCCACGGUUCUUAUCAACUUCCAGUCGGAGGAUGGAGAGUUCCCUCAGCAAGACAUUAUUGGAGUUGCCAACCGCAACCUUAUGCUCACUUACGCCCAAUACAGGAACAUCUUCCCUGUCUGGGCUCUUGGAGAUUACUACCGUAGAAUAGUGCUCACAACAUAA
rnacentral:rRNA from 1 species